rnacentral:lncRNA from 1 species
UGGAACAAAGCCCGAGGCAUGAGUGCCUCCUUGGGACUCUCCCAUAUCCUCUACUGACAUACUCAUGCCCAAACUACUAUCUCUUCUCUGGUUAUCCUCCUCUGUUUCCAUCACAUCCGCUGACAUACCUUCAUGAACUGAUCUCCUCCGACCUGCAUCAAAAGACCUUCUAGGGUCCCUUGAUGUACUUUCCCUGAUCGUCCUACAAGAUCUUGCCCUCUGCAGAGCAGGGGGAUGGGCAUCCAUGCCCUCAUUCUCUGGCGGAGCUCCAGUCAAUCUCGCAGAUCGACGAGUUCCUCUCAUCUUGACUUCUGAAAGCAUAACAUAGCACAUAAACAUAAGC